AUUGAACGCUGGCGGCAGGCCUAACACAUGCAAGUCGAACGGUAACAGGAAACAGCUUGCUGUUUCGCUGACGAGUGGCGGACGGGUGAGUAAUGUCUGGGAAACUGCCUGAUGGAGGGGGGUAACUACUGGAAACGGUAGCUAAUACCGCAUAACGUCGCAAGACCAAAGAGGGGGACCUUCGGGCCUCUUGCCAUCGGAUGUGCCCAGAUGGGAUUAGCUAGUAGGUGGGGUAACGGCUCACCUAGGCGACGAUCCCUAGCUGGUCUGAGAGGAUGACCAGCCACACUGGAACUGAGACACGGUCCAGACUCCUACGGGAGGCAGCAGUGGGGAAUAUUGCACAAUGGGCGCAAGCCUGAUGCAGCCAUGCCGCGUGUAUGAAGAAGGCCUUCGGGUUGUAAAGUACUUUCAGCGGGGAGGAAGGGAGUAAAGUUAAUACCUUUGCUCAUUGACGUUACCCGCAGAAGAAGCACCGGCUAACUCCGUG
rnacentral:rRNA from 1 species